AUGAACGCUGGCGGCGUGCCUAAUACAUGCAAGUCGAGCGAACAGACGAGGAGCUUGCUCCUCUGACGUUAGCGGCGGACGGGUGAGUAACACGUGGAUAACCUACCUAUAAGACUGGGAUAACUUCGGGAAACCGGAGCUAAUACCCGAUAAUAUAUUGAACCGCAUGGUUCAAUAGUGAAAGACGGUUUUGCUGUCACUUAUAGAUGGAUCCGCGCCGCAUUAGCUAGUUGGUAAGGUAACGGCUUACCAAGGCGACGAUGCGUAGCCGACCUGAGAGGGUGAUCGGCCACACUGGAACUGAGACACGGUCCAGACUCCUACGGGAGGCAGCAGUAGGGAAUCUUCCGCAAUGGGCGAAAGCCUGACGGAGCAACGCCGCGUGAGUGAUGAAGGUCUUCGGAUCGUAAAACUCUGUUAUUAGGGAAGAACAAAUGUGUAAGUAACUAUGCACGUCUUGACGGUACCUAAUCAGAAAGCCACGGCUAACUACGUG
rnacentral:rRNA from 1 species